AAUACGCUGGCGGCUGCUUCCCUGCAGUCGAACGGCAGCACGGGAGCAUCCUGGUGGCGAGUGGCGAACGGGUGAGUAAUAUAUCGGAACGUGCCCAGUCGUGGGGGAUAACGCAGCGAAAGCUGUGCUAAUACCGCAUACGAUCUACGGAUGAAAGCGGGGGAUCGCAAGACCUCGCGCGAUUGGAGCGGCCGAUAUCUGAUUAGCUAGUUGGUGAGGUAAAGGCUCACCAAGGCAUCGAUCAGUAGCUGGUCUGAGAGGACGACCAGCCACACUGGAACUGAGACACGGUCCAGACUCCUACGGGAGGCAGCAGUGGGGAAUUUUGGACAAUGGGGGCAACCCUGAUCCAGCAAUGCCGCGUGAGUGAAGAAGGCCUUCGGGUUGUAAAGCUCUUUUGUCAGGGAAGAAACGGUGAGGGCUAAUAUCCCUUGCUAAUGACGGUACCUGAAGAAUAAGCACCGGCUAACUACGUGCCAGCAGCCGCGGUAAUACGUAGGGUGCAAGCGUUAAUCGGAAUUACUGGGCGUAAAGCGUGCGCAGGCGGUUUUGUAAGACUGUCGUGAAAUCCCCGGGCUCAACCUGGGAAUGGCGAUGGUGACUGCAAGGCUAGAGUUUGGCAGAGGGGGGUAGAAUUCCACGUGUAGCAGUGAAAUGCGUAGAUAUGUGGAGGAACACCGAUGGCGAAGGCAGCCCCCUGGGUCAAAAC
rnacentral:rRNA from 1 species